rnacentral:lncRNA from 1 species
GAUCGAGUCGGGGUAUGGAGUGAUGGUUCUAGGAAGAUGUUUUAGCUGUCCUCACUAUUUCUGUAAAAUAGUGUAUGAAUAAUUAAUGAGGACUUAUUUGGGUGUGUAUAUUGUCUAGAAGACAAUAUUUGUAUUUAAACUCACAGUUGUAUUGUCGUAUUCUACACGACAUCUGUAUUAUCAAAGUUGUAGUUUACUUUCUAUACCAUGUAUUUUGGCG